GGGGCCCACACGGCCCUCUCCGCCCGGGCCCGCGCGCGCCGCCCCUCCGGCAGGGCCUGGGGGCGAGCGAGGCGGCGCGGCAUCCCGGGCCCGGGCAGGGCGCGUGGGCGGGCCGGGGCUGGCGUGACGCCCCCGCGGCGCCUCUCCCACGCUCCCGGCCCCUCCCCCUCGCCUUGCUUCCUUCCCCUCAGCGCGCCCGGGAGCGCCGGCGGACGCGAGCCGCGGCGGGCGCCGAGCUUUGUGUGCGGCCGCGGGCCCGGGGCGAGCCUCGGGCGGCCCAACUUUGCGGCUCCUAGCCGGCUCCCAGGCGGGAGUUGUGAGGCGUGGCUGGGUGGAGGAGGCGCUUGGGGGGGCGUGGGGCUCCCCGGCGGGCGGGAGGACCGAGCGAGCCGCGCUGGACAAUGAGCUGGGCAGCUCGACGCUGCGGCCACUUUUAGGGGGGGCGCGACGCGGCCGCUGCCUCCGCGGCCCCACCUGCGGGGAGAGGGCGGGAUGUCAGAGCCAGGUGUCCCGGCGCUCUGAGGCCGUUUGCAGUCAGGCGUCCCUGAACUGGUUCCCGCAUUGACACCAGGCUACCUGGAGGCUUUGGCCGGGACGUGUUUUUUUGUGGGGAGCCCUCGGUGCAGCCGUGAUGGCCAGCACCAGAAGUAUUGAGCUGGAGCACUUUGAGGAACGGGACAAAAGGCCGCGGCCGGGGUCGCGGCGAGGGGCGCCGGGCUCCUCCGGGGGCAGCAGCAGCUCGGGCCCCAAGGGAAACGGGCUCAUCCCCAGCCCGGCGCACAGUGCCCACUGCAGCUUCUACCGCACGCGGACCCUGCAGGCCCUGAGCUCGGAGAAGAAGGCCAAGAAGGCGCGCUUCUACCGGAAUGGGGACCGCUACUUCAAGGGCCUGGUGUUUGCCAUCUCCAGCGACCGCUUCCGGUCCUUCGAUGCGCUGCUCAUGGAGCUCACUCGCUCCCUGUCAGACAACGUGAACCUGCCCCAGGGCGUCCGCACCAUCUACACCAUCGACGGCAGCAGGAAGGUCACCAGCCUGGACGAGCUGCUGGAAGGUGAGAGUUAUGUGUGUGCAUCCAACGAACCAUUUCGUAAAGUUGAUUACACCAAAAAUAUUAAUCCGAACUGGUCUGUAAACAUCAAGGGUGGGACUACCCGAGCCUUGGCUGCUCCCUCCUCGGUGAAAAGUGAAGUGAAGGAAAGUAAAGAUUUCAUCAAACCCAAAUUAGUGACCGUGAUUCGAAGUGGAGUGAAGCCUAGAAAAGCCGUGCGGAUCCUUCUAAAUAAGAAGACUGCUCAUUCCUUUGAACAAGUCUUAACAGAUAUCACUGAAGCCAUUAAAUUAGACUCAGGAGUGGUCAAGAGGCUCUGCACACUGGAUGGAAAGCAGGUUACUUGUCUGCAAGACUUUUUUGGUGAUGAUGAUGUUUUUAUUGCAUGUGGACCUGAAAAAUUCCGUUAUGCCCAAGAUGACUUUGUCCUGGAUCACAGUGAAUGCCGUGUCUUGAAGUCAUCUUAUUCUCGCUCCUCAGCUGUUAAGUAUUCUGGAUCCAAAAGCCCUGGGCCCUCUCGACGCAGCAAAUCACCAGCUUCAGUGAAUGGAACUCCCAGCAGCCAGCUUUCCACUCCUAAAUCUACAAAAUCCUCCAGUUCCUCUCCAACUAGCCCGGGAAGUUUCAGAGGAUUAAAGCAGGUUUCUGGACACGGCAGGUCUUCUUCCAAUGUAAAUGGUGGACCUGAACUUGAUCGUUGCAUGAGUCCUGAAGGUGUGAAUGGAAACAGGUGCUCUGAAUCAACUCUUCUUGAGAAAUACAAAAUUGGGAAGGUUAUUGGUGACGGCAAUUUUGCAGUAGUCAAAGAGUGCAUGGACAGGUCCACUGGAAAGGAGUUUGCCCUAAAGAUUAUAGACAAAGCCAAAUGUUGUGGAAAGGAGCACCUGAUUGAGAAUGAAGUGUCAAUACUGCGCCGAGUGAAACAUCCAAAUAUCAUCAUGCUGGUUGAGGAAAUGGAAACGGCUACUGAGCUCUUUCUGGUGAUGGAAUUGGUCAAAGGUGGAGAUCUCUUUGAUGCAAUUACCUCUUCAACCAAGUACACGGAGAGGGACGGCAGCGCCAUGGUGUACAACCUGGCCAACGCCCUCAGGUAUCUCCAUGGCCUCAGCAUUGUGCACAGAGACAUCAAGCCAGAAAACCUCUUGGUGUGUGAAUAUCCUGAUGGCACCAAAUCUUUGAAACUGGGUGACUUUGGGCUGGCCACUGUGGUGGAAGGCCCUUUAUACACAGUCUGUGGCACACCAACUUACGUGGCUCCAGAAAUCAUUGCUGAAACUGGCUAUGGCCUGAAGGUGGACAUUUGGGCAGCAGGCGUGAUCACCUACAUACUUCUCUGUGGAUUCCCACCAUUCCGAAGUGAGAACAAUCUCCAAGAAGAUCUCUUCGACCAGAUCUUGGCUGGGAAGCUGGAGUUUCCAGCCCCCUACUGGGAUAACAUCACGGACUCGGCAAAGGAGUUAAUCAGUCAAAUGCUUCAGGUAAACGUUGAAGCUCGGUGUACCGCGGGACAAAUCCUGAGUCACCCCUGGGUGUCAGAUGAUGCCUCCCAGGAGAAUAAUAUGCAAGCUGAAGUAACAGGUAAACUAAAACAGCACUUUAAUAAUGCGCUCCCCAAACAGAACAGCACCACCACCGGGGUAUCUGUUAUCAUGGUAAGUGGAAGGCAUGGUUCUGCUGUUGGAAAGUUGCAGUGUCUGGCCUGACUGCUCAGCCAGCAUUGAAUCUUUUGAAGUAAAUAACCAAGAGCUUCCCACACAUGGAAGUUGGCUGCUUCCAUGUUCCUCUUUUCGCUUCAGGAUUGGCUUGGCAAAUGAAGUGCACCCAUCUGGCCGACUUCCAGGCCUUGAGUCCUGGGAUAGGGGUUGUGCAGGUACCAGCAAGGCCAGGCUGAUGGGCCCAGGUGCUGAGGCGCCCCUGACCUCUUCUGUGCUCGGCGCCCUCCCAGGCAGCUGCUUCUACUCUCAUGUCUACUUUCUCAUCUAGAGAAGGAUUCCCAAGCAUAAGGAAGUAACUCCCUGCCUACUCAAGGCUUCAAAAAUAGAUUAUUUGAGAUUAUUUGAAUUAUUCUUUGGGACUUGGGAUAAGAAACAGCCAAACUUAAACAAAUUCCAUUAAAAAAAUCAGAAGUAUAGAACAACGUAAAAAAAAUACUAGUUUUUUUCAAGGUUGGUAAAUUUUAUAAGUCAAUAACAAUGAUUCUCCUAUUUUUUCAGACCUUUCUUCCUCCAAAAUGUUUUUUAUGGCAGCUUACCUAAACCCAUAAACACAUCAAACUAAAAGUGGCAUUAAAAUAAGUAAAGUAACAUUAAAGUAAGUUCAGAAAAAGGGAAAAUAAGGGCAGAAAAAAUAAAAUUGAGCCAGAAGUGCAGUCAGCACAUUCAACACCAGCUGUGCAGGCCUGAGUCCUUGCUGAAGUGGGGCCAUAAAGCAGCUCUGAGUGUCUGCCCACCUGUUAGGGUGCCCGGGUACCAAACAACCAGAGUCUCAGGCCGUGAUCUCCUUUCUGCCCACCCCACGCACAGGAUCAGGGAGCAGGAGAGGGGUUGCCAUCCCAGAGCCAGAGAGUCAACUGAGACGGCUUCAGAAUCAGACUUUCUGAGAAGACGGGUGCCUGAAUUGUUAGCGCCUUGGUCACCCCUGACAAUGUGGGGUCUUAGUGGCACAUAAGGCCACCUGGGAGCCUGACAGCUGGUGAUGGGCCAUCUCCACAUCUCCAUCACUCUUACCUCAGGAUGAGCCUCUCUCCCUCUGGAAAGGUUUAAUUUGUUUCCUACCCAACUAGAAGGAAAACCAUUGCUUACUCUUAUGGCACGUUAUAGUCUAGGAACUUAGCUAGGAAGAUGUGGCAUCCACACAGAUACUUGAGGGAUACCACCCACACACCCCCUCAUGAAUACAGAAUGCUGCGGUAUGUGUGUGGAGCAUCCACCACCUUCUUAGCACCCGCUGGUCUGUCAUUCUCUCGCCCCCAGAGGCAGCUGCAUUUAUUUGGCAGCCGUCUGUAUGUCCUUGCAAUUCUCUCCCUCCUCCCCUGCUGGAAAGCGUGCUCUCUCCCCCACUUCCCUCCCCCAGACAAAGCCUGCAAACUGGGUCUUUUGACAUGUUGCAGGACUUCGGGGUGCUCUGUGCCAAAAUAAUGGAAAGGCCUCUUGAGUUGUGGUUUCCCUAGCAUUUUAGCCGUGCUCUGCUGAAAGCCUGAGAAAGUCAGAGUUGUCACAGAAUUAUAGCUGAAACACUUUGAAAAGAACCAUCUUGAUUGAGCCAACAGCAUGAGAACAUUUUCAAGUGAUUCACUUAUGAGAGCAAGCACUGAUGGAUGGGAUAGGAACACACAGCCUUGCUGCAUGCUGCAUUGUAAGGCAGCUUCUGGGAAAAUUUAGAAAAAUAAAAACAUUAAAAAUGGGCACCCUUCGGCCCCGUGGCUUAGCGGUUAAGUGUGCGCGCUCCGCUACUGGCGGCCCGGGUUCGGAUCCCGGGCGCGCACCGACGCACCACUUCUUCGGCCAUGCUGAGGCCGCGUCUCACAUACAGCAACUAGAAGGAUGUGCAACUAUGACAUACAACUAUCUACUGGGGCUUGGGGGAAAAAAAAGGAGGAGGAUUGGCAAUAGAUGUUAGCUCAGAGCUGGUCUUCCUCAGCAAAAAAAAAAAAAGAGGAGGAUUAGCAUGGAUGUUAGCUCAGGGCUGAUCUUCCUCACCAAAAAAAAAAAAAAAUGGCACCUUUGACAUGUAAUGAAAAACCUUAAGAAAUGUGAUUUGUUAGAAUCAAAAUUUAAUAACCGUGUAUUAGUUAAGCUUCAUAGUCUCCUAGAGGAAGAAACUUCACAGAACUGUGCCCAGGGCUAACGAGAGUUUCACCAUCAUUGCCUGGGUCACCUGUCGAGUCAGGACCCAGAUAGGAAUCAGGCCCAAAGCCUGUGGCUUGCCAACGUUCUGGAAUGAUCCGGCCCGUCUGUCUUAUGGCCCAAUAGAGGCUCUUUUCUGGAUAAUGACAUUUAGACCCCCUCAGACAGAACCUAUAUCAUAUGGUUUACAAAUGGCAUUUUUCCCUUUGCUGAUGGAGUUCAACAGUCAAAUUUCAAACCACUGAGCUCUAACUGGAUUUUGUGUGAAUGAACAACCCUUUAUUAUUUGUAAUUCCAAUGGUUAUUGUAAAAGUGGUGUGUUCACAUGUGUUUUCAGUUGUCAUUUUGAGCAUGUUGGCAGAGUUCCAUCAACCCCAUGUUCCCUACACAACUCUGCAGGUUGUUAGCUCUGAGGAGCUGCUCAGUGAUGUUAUCACAGUCAGUACCCACGGGAGAAAUCAAUGACGCUUGUCUCUGGAGGUACCAAUUCUCCAUAGCCAAAAAGCCAGCCUGUGAAUUUUGGCUUGUCCCCAAAAGCAGUGGCGAGAAGGCCUCCCUGGGGAUGUCCUGCUAAUCCUCAUCUGACGGAGGACCUGGCCCGGGGCAUGGUUGUGUGGGGGCAGCUUGCGAUGCUUCCGUGUCGUCAUCCUCAUCCUCUUCCCCUCACUAUGUGUCUGUGUGCCCUCUCCGUGGGAAGUUUUAAAUGUUUUUUAUAUUAAAAAUAAUCACAAAUGACUCUCUCUGGUAUUUAUGUGUUCUCAUAACUAGAGUAUGUGAAGCUAAUAUGGUUUCCUACAGAUACAGUAGUAGUGGAAAUAGUGUGUAAUGGUUCUGAGGUGGAAUCCUCAGAUAACUGUUGUGUGACUGACAGACAGAACCUUAGUCUCAACUGUCACCCCUAGUGUUCUCUCCACCUUAGCCCCUAACAUCGGUGCCUGAGGCUCAUGGUGAGAAAAUUACAGGAUAGGAAUGAUAAAUAAUGGUGAAAGAUGGUAAAGUUGAUGCUGUUGUCUGCAUUUUAUUUGACAGUUUGAUUUGACAGUUUGAGAGAUGCUUCAGAGUUUCACUCUUUACCCAGUUGAGACUGUGGGGACUCCUGAAGCGGAAUUCUGAACACGGCUCUAGAUAAGGAGGGGCAGAUUUUCUGCAGCAAGCACUGUCAGGAC